rnacentral:misc_RNA from 1 species
GAGAGAGAGGGAGAGAGAGAGAUAGUCGACGAAAGGCGUUAUCCGCAGUGACGGCCACACACCUCACUCCCGCAUUCCCUUCUCGCCACGUGUCCUACGAAACUUCCGUUUUUACUAGAUAGCCUCGUCCCCACCAUAUACCCGCCCACACACGCUCUCUCCCUUAUCGCUUUCGUAUGUAUCCACUGCAAGAGCUGGCUGCUCCUCGAAUCCAGCGAAUCUCACCUCUGCUAAUCCUUUUUAU